rnacentral:lncRNA from 1 species
GAGCGAGCGAGCGAGCGAGAAGAGUCAGAGCGAGCGAGCGAGAAGAGUCAGAGCGAGCGAGAAGAGUCAGAGCGAGCGAGCGAGCGAGAAGAGUCAGAGCGAGCGAGAAGAGUCAGAGCGAGCGAGCGAGAAGAGUCAGAGCGAGCGAGCGAGCGAGAAGAGUCAGAGCGAGCGAGAAGAGUCAGAGCGAGCGAGAAGAAAGAGUCAGAGCGAGCGAGAAGAGUCAGAGCGAGCGAGCGAGAAGAGUCAGAGCGAGCGAGCGAGAAGAGUCAGAGCGAGCGAGCGAGAAGAGUCAGAGCGAGCGAGCAGAGUCAGAGAGAGCGAGCGAGCAGAGUCAGAGAGAGCGAGCGAGAGAGAAGAGUCAGAGAGAGCGAGCGAGAGAGAAGAGUCAGAGAGAGCGAGCGAGAGAGAAGAGUCAGAGAGAGCGAGCGAGAGAGAAGAG